rnacentral:rRNA from 1 species
UAAGUAAAGAUUUUAAGGGCGUACGGUGGAUGCCUUGGCGAUAUCAGCCGAAGAAGGACGCGGUAAGCUGCGAUAAGCUACGGAGAGGUGCAAGCAACCUUUGACCCGUAGAUUUCCGAAUGGGGGAACCCGGCAGUGGUUAUGCACUGUCACCCAUAGCUUAGACUAUGAGGAGGGCACCUGGGGAACUGAAACAUCUAAUUACCCAGAGGAAAAGUAAUCAAACGAGAUUUUCUUAGUAGCGGCGAGCGAACGGGAAAGAGGCCAAACCGGAGCGGGCAACCGCACCGGGGUUGAGGACAGUCAUCAAGUGUAAAU